UCUCAGAACUGCGGUGCUGGCACGGGGAUUUUCCUCCUGGUCAAUGCGUCGGUGAUCAUCAUCAUCCGAGGGCACCGCUUCUGCCUGUGGGGCUCAGUGUACCUGGACGCGCACGGAGAGGAAGACCGGGAUCUUAGGCGAGGCAAGCCUCUCUACAUUUGUAAGGAAAGAUACAAAGUUCUUGAACAACAGUGGAUCUCUCAUACUUUUGAUCACAUCAAUAAAAGAUGGGGUCCACACUACAAUGGGCUCUGACUCACCACCUCAGCACUGCAUUAUAUUAUCAUUUUCAUUAAGAAUUUAUCAACAAUAAGCUUUAACUUAAUUUGGGGGAUUAACACUUUUGCUGAGGGGAAAAAAAGAAAACUUACGUUAUGAAGCCUUUCCAAAAUUAGGUGCUUGGUAAUCACAUUAAUGGUAUAAUAAUUUUAAAAAGUAUCUGGAGAACAUAAGUUACAAGUUAGAUCAUUCUUUAGUGGUCAUUU